rnacentral:rRNA from 1 species
AUUGAACGCUGGCGGCAUGCUUUACACAUGCAAGUCGAACGGCAGCACGAAAGAGCUUGCUCUUUUGGUGGCGAGUGGCGCACGGGUGAGUAAUGCAUCGGAACGUACCGAGUAAUGGGGGAUAACUGUCCGAAAGGAUAGCUAAUACCGCAUACGCUUUGAGAAGGAAAGUGGGGGCUCUUCGGACCUCACGUUAUUCGAGCGGCCGAUGUCUGAUUAGCUAGUUGGUAGGGUAAAGGCCUACCAAGGCGACGAUCAGUAGCGGGUCUGAGAGGAUGAUCCGCCACACUGGGACUGAGACACGGCCCAGACUCCUACGGGAGGCAGCAGUGGGGAAUUUUGGACAAAGGGCGCAAGCCUGAUCCAGCCAUGCCGCGUGUCUGAAGAAGGCCUUCGGGUUGUAAAGGACUUUUGUUAGGGAAGAAAAGGAUAGUGUUAAUACCAUUAUCUGCUGACGGUACCUAAAGAAUAAGCACCGGCUAACUACGUG